rnacentral:rRNA from 1 species
UGAGGAAUUUUGCUCAAUGGGCGCAAGCCUGAAGCAGCGACGCCACGUGAAUGAUGAAGUCUUUCGGGAUGUAAAGUUCUGUCGGCAAGGAAAAUAAUGAUGGUACUUGCAAAGGAAGCACCGGCAAACUAUGUGCCAGCAGCCGCGGUAAUACAUAGGGUGCAAGCGUUGUCCGGAUUUACUGGGCGUAAAGAGCGUGUAGGUGGUUAGAUAAGUCAAACUUUAAAGGCUGAGGCUCAACUUCAGUUCGGGUUUGAUACUGUCUUGCUAGAGGUUGGGAGAGGAUAGCGGAACAAACAGUGUAGCGGUGAAAUGCGUAGAUAUUGUUUGGAACACCCGUGGCGAAGGCGGCUAUCUGGACCAAAUCUGACACUGAGACGCGAGAGCGUGGGGAUCAAACAGG